rnacentral:lncRNA from 1 species
CUUUUCCAAACCUUAAGGAUGAACUUAAGUGAUCCAAGGUGAAAUUAAAUAAAUCAAGAAUUCAAAAUUGAUACGUUUAAUAGCUGGAAGAGUAUUAGUUAAGGAUCAAAAUAAGCUAAAAAUAUUUUUUAGGUCAUGGAGCUCCCUUUUGAGAUAUAUUUGAUUAAUAAAAUAUGGCGGGAAAAGGCUUAACCAGACUUUUACCUUAUACAUGUUAUAUUUGCAUUGGUAUUAUUUGGGUUAAAUCAAAAGAAAGAAAAUCAAGAAUCUGCUUAAAUUUUGUCAAAUGACCUUUUAUAAGCUAUUAAGCCUUGUAAUGUUAAAAGAUAAAUAGGUGUUAUGGGGCAAAAUAUUUUACCUUGUAUGGUAUGGAAAAACACUAAGGAGUCCGAACAUUUGACACUCAUUCCAAAACCUCACCUAAGUACAUCCUUAACAUUAGUUGAAUUGACAAAUGAUUUGUGUCAGAUAGAAAUUGAAUGUAUGCCAACGAAUAUCAAUACAUCUGUGUUGAAGAAAAAAACCUCCAUGCAAAGUCUAUAAUAAUAAUUGAUUGAAAAUUGAAUUGAUAGGACCCUACAAAAAAGACUAAAAUUCAUCUUUUAUUUCAUAUUUGAAUGUUUGAAAAUCAAACACAGUCUUACACAUUUACAAAAUGUAAAUGAAUAUGUGUACUUGCAUUAUUAUAGGUCGAUUUCUUUCCAAU